GGUAGUCAACGUACCGUGAAUCACCGGCGCGUCUCGAUAAAAUCCAAGCACGUAGAUCACUCGCGUUUACGUGGAAGGAAUCGCGCUCGAUCUGGGCGCGCCGAGGUCACCUCUCAGCCCAGUUUCUAAUAAAUCGAUCCAGAAUCGAUAUCGCGAAUGCACAACCCGAGGGGUAUCGCGUUACCCGCGAGGGCGUCGGUAUUUAAUUGUAUGGAAAUCAGCCACCGAGUGGAAAACAAACACGAGAUGUUGUAAACGUUCUGGCAACUUUUCUCUCAAAUGGAUAAAGGACAAAGGGCAGAGAGCUCUCGGAUAAAGUUUAGUCAAAACGGGCAAGAUGAGCAGAAAGAGCGAGUUAAGUUACCCGGCUGUCCUGGGGAUUGGGGAAGCCCUCUCGAUUCUCGGUUGUACGAGGUUAUUCUCCGGUGUCUCGGGAUCUAGGAAUAGAACUUUAGUCUGUGUGUUACUUACAGCACAUCACCGGUUCUUCUCUUUUCUCGUAGUCAACGAGAGACACGACUAAGAUAAAAAAAAAAUAUCUGUAUCUGUGUAUCUUAUCUGUAGUAUCUUUUUCUUUAGAAAAUAUCCUCUGGGACAAUCACAGUUUUGUUCUAAUUCGGUCAACAGAACACACAAAGCAAACUAACACAGACUAACUAGAUUAACGAAAGAAAUGAGUUGGCUCGUUAGAUUCUUUAAAAGAAAGAAGAACAAAUCUUGAGGCUCUUUGCAGCUUGCAAAUAAUCCCGAAUCAAAAUAAAUCAAAAUUUUUGCGAAAUAAUAUGACAUAUAUUUACAUUUUAUAAAUUUGAAUGUAAAUACAUGUUACUUCGUGAGCUAUACUAAUAAUAAAACAGAAAGUAGAAAAAAGAGAAAUUUGUAUUUAUAUCAUUGAAAUGCCCGAGAAACUACCUGUUUCUAGAUUUUCAAUUUUGUGAAAAAUGUCAAUCUCUCAAUGUUAAAAAUGUUGAUGUCAAAAAUGUAAUAACAUAUCUUCUUUAUAAAUUUUUAUGCAAUUAAUCUGCAUCA